ensembl:rRNA 5S_rRNA 5S ribosomal RNA
GUCUACGGCCAUACCACCCUGAACGCGCCAGAUCUCGUCUGAUCUCAGAAGCUAAGCAGGGUCGGGCCUGGUUAGUACUUGGAUGGGAGAUAAUAAUGGGAGGAAAGCCCUUGUUCUAACCU